rnacentral:sRNA from 1 species
GUUUAGCCCUGAUUGCAGCGGCAUCCUUUUUUAUUUUUCUUAAAAAAGAUAUAGCGGAAAGCAGGAAAUAGC